rnacentral:rRNA from 1 species
AGAGUUUGAUCAUGGCUCAGAUUGAACGCUGGCGGCAGGCCUAACACAUGCAAGUCGAACGGUAACAGGAAGAAGCUUGCUUCUUUGCUGACGAGUGGCGGACGGGUGAGUAAUGUCUGGGAAACUGCCUGAUGGAGGGGGAUAACUACUGGAAACGGUAGCUAAUACCGCAUAACGUCGCAAGACCAAAGAGGGGGACCUUCGGGCCUCUUGCCAUCGGAUGUGCCCAGAUGGGAUUAGCUAGUAGGUGGGGUAAAGGCUCACCUAGGCGACGAUCCCUAGCUGGUCUGAGAGGAUGACCAGCCACACUGGAACUGAGACACGGUCCAGACUCCUACGGGAGGCAGCAGUGGGGAAUAUUGCACAAUGGGCGCAAGCCUGAUGCAGCCAUGCCGCGUGUAUGAAGAAGGCCUUCGGGUUGUAAAGUACUUUCAGCGGGGAGGAAGGGAGUAAAGUUAAUACCUUUGCUCAUUGACGUUACCCGCAGAAGAAGCACCGG